rnacentral:rRNA from 1 species
UACAGAGGUCUCAAGCGUUGUUCGGAUUCAUUGGGCGUAAAGGGUGUGUAGGUGGCGCGCUAAGUCGGGUGUGAAGUUUCGGAGCUUAACUCCGAAACUGCAUUCGAUACUGGCGUGCUUGAGGACUGGAGAGGAGACUGGAAUUCAUGGUGUAGCAGUGAAAUGCGUAGAGAUCAUGAGGAAGACCAGUGGCGAAGGCGGGUCUCUGGACAGUUCCUGACACUGAGGCACGAAGGCCAGGGGAGCAAACGGG